GGCGAACUUCACAAGUAUCUCAAACCCCACUUUCACAGAAUCCCAAUCUUCCUUAUCACAAAACCCAAUUAAAACCCCCAAACACUUAACAAAAGCCCUCACAGUAGAAGUCCCCAAACUACUUUCACUCUCCACUGUUUCCUUUUCAAGAAGACCCACAAGAACCUCAAUUGCCUCAGCAACUUUAUCUGAAGAAACAUCGUCAUUGUGAACUAAAGGAAGAACAAUAGACAAAAAGGAAGACAACCCAGAUAAAGCUUGUGGGUCAAGAGAAUCUUGAGAAUUUGAAAUUG
rnacentral:misc_RNA from 1 species